rnacentral:lncRNA from 1 species
GUAUUGUUGUCAAGAAAUACACAAGUAAAUUCACUAAUCUAUUUAUUAAAAUUCCAUUCCGGACACUAUUUACAUAACAUACAGUUUACAAAAAUGUAUAAUUGAAAUAUUCAUUAGCAAAUUACUUUCACACGGUAUAAAAUCGGCAACAGUGUCUAAUACUGUACACACACAAAAACCCACGCAUAGCGUCCAAUCCUAUGCGGACAAAACCACGCAACAGUGUCCAAUACUGUGCGGACAAAACCACGCUUCAGUGUCCAAUACUGAGCGGAACCACGCAACAGUCUCCAAUACUGUGCGGACAAAACCACGCAUCAGCGUCCAAUACUGAGCGGAACCACGCAACAGUCUCCAAUACUGUGCGGACAAAACCACGCAUCAGCGUCCAAUACUGAGCGGAACCACGCAACAGUCUCCAAUACUGUGCGGACAAAAAGAAUAUAAGAAAUAAUAAUAAUUCCAAAGCUAUCAGUAAUCUGCUAAGAUAUAUCUAAAAAUGUUAUGCGCCUAGAAUAACAAAAAUCCUUUUUAAAUAACGUUUCACAUUGUAUUGUUCUUAAAUUUCUUGCCUUCAAUCCUCUCUAA